GAUUAACGCUGGCGGCAUGCCUAAUACAUGCAAGUCGAACGGAAGCAGCAAUGCUUUAGUGGCGAACGGGUGAGUAACACGUAGGGAACCUACCUAUACGACGAGGAUAACUACUGGAAACGGUAGCUAAAACUGGAUAGGAUCAAUUGAGGCAUCUUGAUUGAUUUAAAGAUCCUUCGGGAUUACGUAGAGAUGGCCCUGCGGCGCAUUAGCUAGUUGGUGAGGUAACGGCCCACCAAGGCGACGAUGCGUAGCUGAGCUGAGAGGCUAAACAGCCACACUGGGACUGAGACACGGCCCAGACUCCUACGGGAGGCAGCAGUUAGGGAAUUUUCGGCAAUGGGGGAAACCCUGACCGAGCAAUGCCGCGUGAACGAUGAAGGUCUUCGGAUUGUAAAGUUCUGUGAUUGGGGAAGAAUGGUAUUCUUAGGGAAUGAGGAGUACCAUGACGGUACCCCGAUUAGAAAGCCCCGGCUAACUACGUGCCAGCAGCCGC
rnacentral:rRNA from 1 species